rnacentral:rRNA from 1 species
ACGACGCUGGCGGCGUGCCUAAUACAUGCAAGUCGAACGGUCUUUCUAUGGAAGCUUGCUUCCACUGAGAAGAUAGUGGCGAACGGGUGAGGUAACACGUGGGUAACCUGCCCAUAAGAGGGGGAUAACAUCCGGAAACGGGUGCUAAUACCGCAUAGUUUUCUUGAUCGCAUGAUCGGGAAAGGAAAGACGGCCUUUGUGCUGUCGCUUAUGGAUGGACCCGCGGCGUAUUAGUUAGUUGGUGAGGUAACGGCUCACCAAGACGAUGAUACGUAGCCGACCUGAGAGGGUGAUCGGCCACAUUGGGACUGAGACACGGCCCAAACUCCUACGGGAGGCAGCAGUAGGGAAUCUUCCGCAAUGGACGAAAGUCUGACGGAGCAACGCCGCGUGAGUGAAGAAAAGGGUUUUCGGAUCGUAAAACUCUGUUGUCAGAGAAGAACAAGUUGGAGAGUAACUGCUCCAGCCUUGACGGUAUCUGACCAGAAAGCCACGGCUAACUACGUGCCAGCCGCAGC